AUUGAACGCUGGCGGCAGGCCUAACACAUGCAAGUCGAGCGGAUGAAGGGAGCUUGCUCCUGGAUUCAGCGGCGGACGGGUGAGUAAUGCCUAGGAAUCUGCCUGGUAGUGGGGGAUAACGUCCGGAAACGGGCGCUAAUACCGCAUACGUCCUGAGGGAGAAAGUGGGGGAUCUUCGGACCUCACGCUAUCAGAUGAGCCUAGGUCGGAUUAGCUAGUUGGUGGGGUAAAGGCCUACCAAGGCGACGAUCCGUAACUGGUCUGAGAGGAUGAUCAGUCACACUGGAACUGAGACACGGUCCAGACUCCUACGGGAGGCAGCAGUGGGGAACAUUGGACAAUGGGCGAAAGCAUGAUCCAGCCAUGCCGCGUGUGUGAAGAAGGUCUUCGGAUUGUAAAGAACUUUAAGUUGGGAGGAAGGGCAGUAAGUUAAUACCUUGCUGUUUUGACGUUACCAACAGAAUAAGCACCGGCUAACUUCGUG
rnacentral:rRNA from 1 species